CGUCUCCUCGUGGCUGGUCUCAGUGAGAAUGGAAAGCAUGUGCUGUUGCUGCUAAAUGAUGGCAGUAUCCCAUUGAAGUUGACUAGUUCAGAGGUGAAUAUUGAAUCUCAACUGGAGACUCAUCAGUCAACGCAAAUGGUGAAUUGGUAUUAAGUUUUAAAUGGGUGACCAGUGACUUGUUUAAGGUUUAGCUCUAAGCAAUGUAGCAGUCACUUUUGGCUGCACGUGAAGGACCGAACACAUAACCUUUAGGGAACGUUCCCUAAAGGUUCUCUGAAGGUAGCAGCUAAUACCUUCAAGGUACCUUCCCUAAAGGUUAUGUGUUUGCUGGGUGCUAACUUAACUGUGAAUAAUCGGGUUGGUGUGUCCGGGCCCUAAAGCCUUCCUCACAGACAUUGGAAAGAUUUGGAAAAGAUUUUUGAAAGACUACAGUCUCAGACCCCCUCACAUCUAAAGACAAGUAGAGUUUUAAGUCAGACUAUGAUUUUGCAAUGACUAGGGAUCUUGCAGGGUCACUAUUUACAAGACUGCAACAAGAUUCCUUUAAAUGAUUACCCAUCGUGCAAUAGAUGAACAGGAACUGAAUUAUAGCCUAUUAAACUCAAGUCGUAUUUUCGAGUUUCUGCAGCAUUGUUUCAUGCGUGACAUCCUUAACAGAUAUUAUUAGAGUUGUUCGGUCACGUGGAAGAGCUGACUAAAUAUGUAUAAGAAAUGACAAAUAUUAUAAGAAUAACAAAUAAUUAUAGGCUACAGCUGUCGCCUACACUUUGCCCCUUCCUGUUUGGUGUUGGAGAGAGGUCACUAUUGUUUUUGUAUACUUCACGUCACUAUUUGCAUGAGCCACGACUAGAAAGACUUACGAUAAUGUCAAACACGUUUGUUGUAAUGGCACAACUAGAAAAGGACUGACUCCGACUGACUUACAACCGCUCAGAUUGGCACCUUACACUUAACGAUCUAGUUGACGGGAGCGCGCCGCGAUUCCAGUAGCCUACAACUCCCAUGAUUUCUGCCCGACUUUGGACAUUUAGUCGUCGACUGUGAAAACAGACUAAAAUCGUACAAUGUAAGGCCGCCAUUAGUUGUAGUCAUGGAAAUGUUGUGUUUAAUUUGUCUUUCUGCUAUGUUACUGUAAGAACAACGUAAUAAAUUGCUUUAAAAUUGU